rnacentral:tRNA from 1 species
CCUGGUGGCUCAGAUGGUAAAGCAUCUGCCUGCAAUGUAGGAGACCCAGGUUUGAUUCCUGGGUCAGGA